UCAGUAAGACCAGGCAUAAUUGGGCCUUGUAGUCUUUGCUCUAUUCCCGUUACACGACAAUGAGCAAAGAGGGGCAGCUGUAAUAAGGCCCAAUCGGCCUGGGUCCAAAUACAAAAGAAAACAGUUUAGGCCCAAUCAAUUGGCCCAAACCCAAUAGCCAAUACAACAAAACAAAAAACAAAAAGAACAAAACCCUAGCCGGUCUUCAAAUGCCCCACCAGCCACUACCUCCAGCGCCGCCAGCGAGACUCCGAUCGGCGCACGUCUCGGGGCCGAUCUCUCCUCCACGCACACGUUUCUCGCC
rnacentral:lncRNA from 1 species